AGGAGUGAAUCCACUAUGAUAGUAUUAGUUCAAAGCCCUCAAUAAACGCCCCGUUUAUGACUUCUCACCUAAUCACCACCCGUGCUAUAUUCUACCUAAGUCACUCCUAGGUAUGAGAACCUCCGCUCAACUCCUCUUAAUCACAGCCACUGUGAUCGUACACGUUACAGUUUACAGAUGAAGACACACUUCUUAAAACAUCCACCAAUUCCGUACUUCAAAGCUUAGGAAUGGUUCAUACACACUAUCUCCUUGCUUAGAAGCUCUGGAGAUAUUACAACACAGUAACACACAGUCCUUAAUCUUGCAACAAGGUAAUACAAGAAGAGGAACAAAAUUAACAACACUAAAACCCUAAACACACGCUUUGUAAAACUCAAUUACGGCUUCAGUGAGUUGCACAAGGGUUCGGUCUUCCUUUAUAUAGCACGAGCUAGGUCUUGAAUUGGGCUUCAAAAACGCAGCAGGUCCAGAAGUUACUUCAAGGAAUAUUCUUGUAUCAAAUGUUUUGUUUCC
rnacentral:lncRNA from 1 species